UNNGCGNNGCUACACAUGCAGUCGAGCGGAUGAGAAGAGCUUGCUCUUCGAUUCAGCGGCGGACGGGUGAGUAAUGCCUAGGAAUCUGCCUGGUAGUGGGGGACAACGUUUCGAAAGGAACGCUAAUACCGCAUACGUCCUACGGGAGAAAGCAGGGGACCUUCGGGCCUUGCGCUAAUAGAUGAGCCUAAGUCGGAUUAGCUAGUUGGUGGGGUAAAGGCCUACCAAGGCGACGAUCUGUAGCGGGUCUGAGAGGAUGAUCCGCCACACUGGGACUGAGACACGGCCCAGACUCCUACGGGAGGCAGCAGUGGGGAAUAUUGGACAAUGGGGGGAACCCUGAUCCAGCCAUGCCGCGUGUGUGAAGAAGGCCUUUUGGUUGUAAAGCACUUUAAGCGAGGAGGAGGCUCCCAGUAUUAAUACUACUGGAGAGUGGACGUUACUCGCAGAAUAAGCACCGGCUAACUCUGUGCCAGCAGCCGCGGUAAUACAGAGGGUGCAAGCGUUAAUCGGAUUUACUGGGCGUAAAGCGUGCGUAGGUGGCCAAUUAAGUCAAAUGUGAAAUCCCCGAGCUUAACUUGGGAAUUGCAUUCGAUACUGGUUGGCUAGAGUAUGGGAGAGGAUGGUAGAAUUCCAGGUGUAGCGGUGAAAUGCGUAGAGAUCUGGAGGAAUACCGAUGGCGAAGGCAGCCAUCUGGCCUAAUACUGACACUGAGGUACGAAAGCAUGGGGAGCAAACAGGAUUAGAUACCCUGGUAGUCCAUGCCGUAAACGAUGUCUACUAGCCGUUGGGGUCUUUGAGACUUUAGUGGCGCAGCUAACGCGAUAAGUAGACCGCCUGGGGAGUACGGUCGCAAGACUAAAACUCAAAUGAAUUGACGGGGGCCCGCACAAGCGGUGGAGCAUGUGGUUUAAUUCGAUGCAACGCGAGACCUUACCUGGUCUUGACA
rnacentral:rRNA from 1 species